AACGAACGCUGGCGGCGCGUCUUAAGCAUGCAAGUCGAGCGGCAAGGACAGCAAUGUCCCUAGAGCGGCGGACUGGUGAGUAACACGUGGGUGAUCUACCUCUGGGUUGGGGAUAGCCUGUGGAAACACAGGGUAAUACCGAAUACGGUUGCGGGACCGAGGUUCCGCAAAGAAAGGAGCUACGGCUCCGCCUUGAGAUGAGCCCGCGGCUCAUUAGCUAGUUGGCGGUGUAACGGACCACCAAGGCGAUGAUGAGUAGCCGGCCUGAGAGGGUGAACGGCCACACUGGGACUGAGAUACGGCCCAGACUCCUACGGGUGGCUG
rnacentral:rRNA from 1 species